AUGGGCAACGCUGCGCCGCGCGGUCCGGCGGUGGAGGAGCGGCUGACGCAGCCGCGCCGCCUCGUCCGGCAGCUCUCCGACCUGGACUCCGACCGGCUCCGGCGGCUCAUCCGCUCCGGCGACCUCGCGCCGUGCUUCGACGCCGCCGAGGAGGACGGACGCGCAGUGGAGUGCCCCAUCUGCUUCCACUUCUACCCGAGUUUGAAUCGAUCCAAGUGCUGCGGCAAAGGGAUCUGCACAGAGUGCUUCUUGCAGUUGAUGCCGUCGAAGGCUUCCAAAGCUGUCCACUGCCCAUUCUGCAAAACCGCAGCCUACGCUGUCGAAUACCGCGGUGCUAGAACCUUGAGUGAGAAGAAACUUCAACGAGAAGAAGAACAGAGCGUUUAUGAGGGUGCGACAAGAAUACAUUCCAAGAACGCCGGGGGACAUAUCCUACUACCAUAG
rnacentral:rRNA from 1 species